rnacentral:rRNA from 1 species
ACGCUCGACACCUACGGGAGGUAGCAGUGGGGAAUAUUGGGCAAUGGGCGCAAGCCUGACCCAGCAACGCCGCGUGAAGGAAGAAGGCCCUCGGGUUGUAAACUUCUUUUCUUGGGGACGAAGCAAGUGACGGUACCCAAGGAAUAAGCCACGGCUAACUACGUGCCAGCAGCCGACGGUAAUCUGAGCGGGCUGGCAAGGC